CCCACGACUAACCCCCUGUAAAUUUCCCUCGCUGAUUUUCCUAUUACAACUAUGCAGCAGAGGGUAUAAUCUGAACUUGACGUAACUACAGAAAACCAGUUUCGUUUUCUCUUUCGUUUUUUGUCUCAACUCUUCUCUUUUCGUCUGAAACACCUCCACCAUGAAAAAUAUUUCUGAAACACAUCCAGCAUGAAAGAAGAACAAAGGGUACGGAAAAUCUGAGGCUUAGCAUAAGAUUUCAAUCCAGGCUUCAUCAGCUCCCAUUUAUCUUUCCGGUGCAGUGAAAACCUAUCAAAGAACUGGGGCUCGGAGUUGGGAUAUGUAGUGCUUUUUUUCUUUGGUCUCAUAUGAGCUUAACAAAGUCGAUGUGAAAAUUGUUGUAUUUAUAUAUGUUAUCGCGAUCUCAAAAAGCAUGUGUUACAGUGUUUUAGUAUUGCAUAUUACAUUUUGUAUUAA